GCGAUGGUGGUAUAGUGGUUAGCAUGGUUGCCUUCCAAGCAAUCGACCCGAGUUCGAUUCUCGGUCAUCGCA
rfam:Daphnia magna strain Xinb3 contig20024, whole genome shotgun sequence.